UACGGAAGGGGCAAGCGUUGUUCGGAAUCAUUGGGCGUAAAGGGCGUGUAGGUGGUUCUGUAUGUCUACCGUGAAAGCGUACGGCUCAACCGUAUUUUGUCGGUAGAAACUGCAGGACUUGAGGCUGGGAGGGGCUGGUGGAAUUCCCUGUGUAGCGGUGAAAUGCGUAGAGAUGGGGGAGAACACUCGUGGCGAAGGCGGCCAGCUAGACCAGUUCUGACACUGAGGCGCGACAGCGUGGGGAGCAAACAGG
rnacentral:rRNA from 1 species